AGCUCGUAGGCGGUUUGUCGCGUCUGCUGUGAAAUCUGGGGGCUCAACCCCCAGCCUGCAGUGGGUACGGGCAGACUAGAGUGCGGUAGGGGAGAUAGGAAUUCCUGGUGUAGCGGUGGAAUGCGCAGAUAUCAGGAGGAACACCGAUGGCGAAGGCAGAUCUCUGGGCCGUAACUGACGCUGAGGAGCGAAAGCAUGGGGAGCGAACAGGAUUAGAUACCCUGGUAGUCCAUGCCGUAAACGUUGGGAACUAGAUGUGGGGGCCAUUCCACGGUCUCCGUGUCGCAGCUAACGCAUUAAGUUCCCCGCCUGGGGAGUACGGCCGCAAGGCUAAAACUCAAAGGAAUUGACGGGGGCCCGCACAAGCGGCGGAGCAUGCGGAUUAAUUCGAUGCAACGCGAAGAACCUUACCAAGGCUUGACAUAUACCGGAAACGUCCAGAGAUGGUCGCCCCGCAAGGUCGGUAUACAGGUGGUGCAUGGUUGUCGUCAGCUCGUGUCGUGAGAUGUUGGGUUAAGUCCCGCAACGAGCGCAACCCUCGUUCUAUGUUGCCAGCACGUUAUGGUGGGAACUCAUAGGAGACUGCCGGGGUCAACUCGGAGGAAGGUGGGGAUGACGUCAAAUCAUCAUGCCCCUUAUGUCUUGGGCUUCACGCAUGCUACAAUGGCCGGUACAAAGGGCUGCGAUACCGUAAGGUGGAGCGAAUCCCAAAAAGCCGGUCUCAGUUCGGAUUGAGGUCUGCAACUCGACCUCAUGAAGUCGGAGUCGCUAGUAAUCGCAGAUCAGCAACGCUGCGGUGAAUACGUUCCCGGGCCUUGUACACACCGCCCCGUCAGUC
rnacentral:rRNA from 1 species